rnacentral:rRNA from 1 species
UGGGGAAUAUUGCACAAUGGGCGCAAGCCUGAUGCAGCCAUGCCGCGUGUAUGAAGAAGGCCUUCGGGUUGUAAAGUACUUUCAGUCGGGCGGAAGGUGGUAAGGUUAAUAACCUUAUCAAUUGACGUUACCGACAGAAGAAGCACCGGCUAACUCCGUGCCAGCAGCCGCGGUAAUACGGAGGGUGCAAGCGUUAAUCGGAAUUACUGGGCGUAAAGCGCACGCAGGCGGUUGAUUGAGUCAGAUGUGAAAUCCCCGGGCUUAACCCGGGAAUUGCAUCUGAUACUGGUCAGCUAGAGUCUUGUAGAGGGGGGUAGAAUUCCAUGUGUAGCGGUGAAAUGCGUAGAGAUGUGGAGGAAUACCGGUGGCGAAGGCGGCCCCCUGGACAAAGACUGACGCUCAGGUGCGAAAGCGUGGGGAGCAAACAGG